ACGGGAGCUCGUGGGACCCAAACUACCUUGUCUUGCGCUCGACCCAAAGAAAGGAAGCAGGGGAGAGACAGAAUGUCUACUAUGCCUCCUAGCGAGUGCACUGCAGCUCCCUCUAGUGGCCAUGCACGACUCCCCAAAUGCCUGCCCCUGGUUAGUUAAGUGCUUCCUCAGCAUUCCUGGGCCGCUGCUUAAAGAAACAACCUUGAGUUCACUGAAAUGCCAAACUUCCUUUUCCUCUGUGCCAGUCCCACCAACAGCAGAUGAAUACAGCUGGAAAUGGGAGGCCCGCACUAACCACAAUCUACAAGGGUUGCCAACUUUUCUGCCGCCCUUUGGCACUGUCGGUGUGAGAACAACCAGCUGUGCAAAAAGCUCAACCAUAACAAGUUACUUUUUUUGGACCACAGCUCACACCAUUGUAUAGCCAACAUGGGCAAAGAUAUAGCUACGAGGAGAGCAAAAUGAAGGCAUUGCCUCCUAAAACAAGAAUUCUGCCUUCAAUGAAAUAUUCCUUCAGGCCCUACAAUUUCUAGCUUUGCAAAGAGUGAGACACUGAAAAUCAUUCACAUAUAGUACUGUUUCUUAAACUGUGGGUCCCAACCUCAAUGUAGCUCAAUGUUGCCGUCAUUUAAAAAAUGACAUCAAUUUACACAAAUAUGAUAGCAACAACAUGCAGUGUUUACAAUGGAUUCUUUAGAAACUGCUUCAGAUGGACUCCACAAAAAUAAAUUGCUGCAUCUCUUAUCUACUUGCGCCAUAAUUGUUGCAGUCUUUACCACAUUUUGACAUUGCUUGGACAUGUUGUUUUUGUUUUGUUUUGUUUUAUAGUAUACCUGUUGCUGGCUCUCGUGGCAGAAUGUAAGCCGCUCUGAGUCCCCUCGGGGAGAAGGGCGGGGUAUAAAUGCAUGUAAGAAAUAAAUAAUGUAUUUCUCGGUUUACAUCUAUGAAACGUUGGAGUCCAUGCAUCUCUGAAGUAAUUUAAGAAAGUUAAUUUUAUUUAUGUAUUGACAAAGGCUUUAAUGGCUGGAACCACUGGAGUGUUGUGUGGUUUCCAGGCUUUAUGGCCAUGUUCCAGGAGCAUUUUCUCCCGUCAUUUUGCCUGCAUCUGUGGCUGGCAUCUUGGCUGUAUUUGUUGUGAUUUUGUAAUAUUUUGGUGUACACUGACUUUAUACCCUUUCAUACUGACAUGCUAAAAUACAAUUGAGAACAACAACAAAA